UCAAAUAAAAAUAAUUGGUUCGAGGAAAAACACCCACAAAGCGCAGCUAACAAAUCAUUCGCCAAAAAUCAUAAAGUGCACGAAUAGUUUGUGAGUAUAAAACAGAAUGGCAACACUGAAAAGCCAAGUCUAAAAUGAGAGCCGAAAGGUAAAGAAAUUCACAAACAUCAAUAUUAAAAUGACGUAAGAGUAGCAGUAAAUUUGAAUGUCUGUCCAUUUUUAUCUGAGUGUAUAUCCAUUGUGGCCAACUAGCAACAGAACUAUUUGCGUGUUGGAAAAGCAGUUGUUUCCCUCCUUUUGCUUCCCGAAUGGCAAAGUAUUGGCUGGAGUGCAUAUGAAGAUGAUUCUGGCGAAAUUCUGGCGCAGCAAUGCGAAUAUUGCUAUAAAUUAAAGUCUGUCGGCCUGUAGAAUUGAAAACUGCCAGCAAGCAAAUUGUUUAACGUAACUUUUCGCAUAACUUUUCGCUGCUCACAAAAGCACACGGCGCUCUGUGUAUCGCGCUCCUGGGGGCUAGUACACCAGAUUCGUAUAUAUUUUCCCCAGUUGGACAAUUAUGUGCGUGAUUGUCACGCAACAAAACCUAUAAUUUAGUCUUUAUUUUUUUAUUUUACUUUCUGUGUUAAAAUUUGUAUUUUAUUUAGAAUAUGCAUGAAAAUGCGUGAAGUUGUGUGCUUAAUUGUUUGAACA